UUAACCGCGUUUGAUAUAUAUCGAUAAUCGAUUAUUCAUAGUCGAAGAGUAAUUUCGAUAAAUUGCACGAAAACCGUUAGUAGUUCAAACACGUUUGCAGGGAGAGGGUGCAUAAAAUUAAAUCAGACAACUGUGAAUAAAGUGCUGUGUUAAUUUAUUGAAUUUCAAGAAAAUUUACAGUAAUUUACUUAAAGCUGACAUGUCUAUAGUGUGGUCAACGUAGAGGCGGAAAUUAAUUAUGUUUGUUCAAUUUCGAGAUGAAAAAAAGUAGCUGGCAUCGCUUCGCCCACGCGAACAAACCACCAAUUCCUGAUUUCUCCCGAUCCCUCAUCAAUUUAAUGACAUUUUCGAAGAAAUAAUUGAUGGCAAUUUAGCGGUCGGUAAACAAUUUACCUGAAGGUUAAUGACACCCGGAAGAAAGUAAACACUUUACCUGCUCGAAUAUGCAACAAUUAACCGGAUCGUCGUGAGGGCUCGCAAUUUGCCGGCUAAAAAGGGAAAGCGUGAAUCGCAUCGGGACAGGUUUCGGCGCGGAUCGAUAAAAAUUAAGAGAUGGUGAAGGAAGUGGACGUCCCUUGAAGUUCCUGUGCAAUUUAAAUUAGAAUUAAUAGUGUAUUAUUUGUAAUAUUGUGGUAAUUGUGAAAAUAGAAUAAGUUCUCAUGUAUAUUAAUUGUAAAUAAAGUAAUUAAGAUAUAAAUUAUGUUGUUACAUGUUGUACAGAAGGGAUAAA